UACGUAGGGGGGCGAGCGUUGUCCGGAUUUAUUGGGCGUAAAGAGCGUGUAGGCGGCCAGGUAGGUCUGCUGUGAAAACUCGAGGCUCAACCUCGAGACGUCGGCGGAAACCAUCUGGCUAGAGUCCGGAAGAGGAGAGUGGAAUUCCCGGUGUAGCGGUGAAAUGCGCAGAUAUCGGGAAGAACACCCGUGGCGAAGGCGGCUCUCUGGGACGGUACUGACGCUGAGACGCGAAAGCGUGGGGAAGCGAACAGG
rnacentral:rRNA from 1 species